rnacentral:rRNA from 1 species
CAGCAGCCGCGGUAAUGCGGAGGGUGCAAGCGUUAAUCGGAAUUACUGGGCGUAAAGCGUGCGUAGGCGGUUCGUUAAGUCUGUUGUGAAAGCCCCGGGCUCAACCUGGAAUGGCAAUGGAUACUGGCGAGCUAGAGUGUGUCAGAGGAUGGUGGAAUUCCCGGUGUAGCGGUGAAAUGCGUAGAGAUCGGGAGGAACAUCAGUGGCGAAGGCGGCCAUCUGGGACAACACUGACGCUGAGGUGCGAAAGCGUGGGGAGCAAACAGGAUUAGAGACCCCCGUAGUCCCUGUCUCUUAUACA